rnacentral:tRNA from 2 species
GGUGGGAUACCCAAGCGGUCAACGGGGGCAGACUGUAAAUCUGCUGGCUGACGCCUUCGCUGGUUCGAAUCCGGCUCCCACCACCA